rnacentral:lncRNA from 1 species
GAGAAGCAACUAUGUACCCUCAUCACUCAGGACUGCCCUUAAUACAUUUUCCUGGAACACACAGGGUCACCACCACACCAGGGAGCCUAUCUGGCGGCCAGGAUGAGCCUGAGGAGCUCCAAGGGACAGUCCCAAGUGAUCUCUAAGUGUUUGGACAUGACGUCAAACGAGCAGUGGCAGCCUCCAGGAGGCACAUCUGAGUAUCAGCCCUUCCGGGUCGAUCCUUUGACCCGAGGCAGGCCCAUGGCUAAUUCCAUCUCUUGUGAGACUGCUUUUCCCCUCCUGUGGCUGGCUGGCUGUUUCCGCUGGACCCCGUGUUUGCUUUUCCCUCCACCCCACCCCUGCAUCUCACGUGUCCCGCGAACGCCUGCCCGAGUCCACCCUCACCGUGAUGCUGGAGUGGCGUCUUAAACCCACUGCUUCAGACACGAUCAUGUCUACCCACGACUGCAGCUGCGGAGGAAGGAGAGCAGAGCGGCUUACAUUCCCGCGCGGAUCCCAGGAGGACACCGUGCCUGCUUCUGGCCUCUGGCCCAGCUGAGUAGCGUCACCGCUUGGCUCCAGGCCACUCUGCGGACUCUCUGGGCCUCUGCCGCCUCCUUCUCAAGGGCAACCACGGGAGCCGUUUCGGAGGUGGCAUGACCUUGAGGGUGGAUGAAGGCCCCUGCACACAGUGAAGUUCUGUCCUAAGGUGUGAGGAUUGAGUGGAGGGAGGAGGGGAAGUGAGCAGAGGGUGAGGAUGCUUGAGGAGGUUUCACUUCUCUUCCAGAACCUUCUUCGGAGAUCGUCCUGGGACUAAUUUGCAAAAACACAAACACCAGUAACUGUCAACAGUGGGAGAUUGGGCCUUAUUAAUUUUUUUGUCCAGCUCCUCCCGUGAGCCUGGGCUCAUUCAGUCUUUCACCCACUCAUUCAUUUAUUCACUCAUUCAUUCACUUACUCGUUCAAAUACUCAUUCACUUAUUCAAUCAUUCAUUCACUCCAUUUUUUCCCCAUUCCUUCAUCAUGCACCCUUGGGGUUACUCUGUGUAGAGGUAAACACAUCUGACAUAUGAAUGACCCAAGCACUAAUGCAGUAGUCGAAGAUGGGCCCUAUCUGGUUGUUGUCCAAUGUUGCGGUGGGGAGGGGGUGUGCCCUGACUCUGCUCCAUCUUGCCGAUCCUUUCCAUGUCCCCUGGGGAAGGUGGGCAGAGCCGAGGGGGUGCAGCUGCUUUAAGGGAUAUUAAAAGUUCACAAGGGCACUUUUCCUUAUAAGGUCUGCCAUGUUUUGGUACGUGUUUUAGUUUCGUAAUAAAUAGACUGAUGCUCAAAUACUGCA